AGUGUAUUAAGGUGGUGGGUGGGGGGCAAUGUAUUAAUUUGGGGGAAGGAGGCAAUAUUAGAGUGGUGAGGAGUAACUGAUUAGUGCAUGCACAAUGGCCUCGGAUUGCUUUCCUACGGGAAAGCAUUGGUUUGGUUGCGAUUGGCAUGGUGUGGGAAAAAAGUAAAUUUUUCCCAUGCAUCAGAGGGUUGCUGGUCACCUAAACAGACACACACAUACUGGCAGACACACACAUAAUGACACAUUGAGAGAAACACACACU